rnacentral:rRNA from 1 species
AGAACGAACGCUGGCGGCAUGCCUAACACAUGCAAGUCGAACGAGACCUUCGGGUCUAGUGGCGCACGGGUGCGUAACGCGUGGGAAUCUGCCCUUGGGUUCGGAAUAACAGCGAGAAAUUGCUGCUAAUACCGGAUGAUGACGUAAGUCCAAAGAUUUAUCGCCCAAGGAUGAGCCCGCGUAGGAUUAGCUUGUUGGUGAGGUAAGAGCUCACCAAGGCGACGAUCCUUAGCUGGUCUGAGAGGAUGAUCAGCCACACUGGGACUGAGACACGGCCAGACUCCUACGGGAGGCAGCA